GGGCUAUUGUGGUGUUGGUCCGGCUCACUCAGAAUGCAUCAGCAAGAAGGCAAAGCAAACGCCUUACAGAUUGCAUUCUGAUUGAGCCGCGCCAAUAUCUCAGCACUCUUU
rnacentral:pre_miRNA from 1 species